rnacentral:lncRNA from 1 species
AUGUGGAGGCUAUAUACAGGGUGUUACGGUACAGAGUCAAUGUGGAGGCUAUAUACAGGGUAUUACGGUACAGAGUCAAUGUGGAGGCUAUAUACAGGGUAUUACGGUACAGAGUCAAUGUGGAGGCUAUAUACAGGGUAUUACGGUACAGAGUCAAUGUGGAGACUAUAUACAGGGUGUUACGGUACAGAGUCAAUGUGGAGGCUAUAUACAGGGUGUUACGGUACAGAGUCAAUGUGGAGGCUAUAUACAGGGUGUUACGGUACAGAGUCAAUGUGGAGGCUAUAUACAGGGGGUACCGGUAUAGAGUCAAUGUGGAGGCUAUAUACAGGGGGUACCGGUACAGAGUCAAUGUGGAGGCUAUAUACAGGGGUUACCGGUACAGAGUUAAUGUGGAGACUAUAUACAGGGGGUACCGGUACAGAGUCAAUGUGGAGGCUAUAUACAGGGUAUUACGGUACAGAGUCAAUGUGGAGGCUUUAUACAGGGUAUUACGGUACAGAGUCAAUGUGGAGGCUAUAUACAGGGUGUUACGGUACAGAGUCAAUGUGGAGGCUAUAUACAGGGUAUUACGGUACAGAGUCAAUGUGGAGGCUAUAUACAGGGUAUUACGGUACAGAGUCAAUGUGGAGGCUAUAUACAGGGUGUUACGGUACAGAGUCAAUGUGGAGGCUAUAUACAGGGUGUUACGGUACAGAGUCAAUGUGGAGGCUAUAUACAGGGUGUUACGGUACAGAGUCAAUGUGGAGGCUAUAUACAGGGGAUACCGGUACAGAGUCAAUGUGGAGGCUAUAUACAGGGUAUUACGGUACAGAGUCAAUGUGGAGGCUAUAUACAGGGUGUUACGGCACAGAGUCAAUGUGGAGGCUAUAUACAGGGUAUUACGGUACAGAGUCAAUGUGGAGGCUAUAUACAGGGGGUACCGGUACAGAGUCAAUGUGGAGGUUAUAUACAGGGUGUUACGGUACAGAGUCAAUGUGGAGGAUAUAUACAGGGUAUUACGGUACAGAGUCAAUGUGGAGGCUAUAUACAGGGGGUACCGGUACAGAGUCAAUGUGGAGGCUAUAUACAGGGGCACCGGUACAGAGUCAAUGUGGAGGCUAUAUACAGGGUGUUACGGUACAGAGUCAAUGUGGAGGCUAUAUACAGGGGGUACUGGUAGAGAGUCAAUGUGGAGGCUAUAUACAGGGGGUACCGGUAUAG